GACGAACGCUGGCGGCGUGCUUAACACAUGCAAGUCGAACGGAAAGGCCUGCUUUCCCUUGUGGAUUGCGGGUGCUCGAGUGGCGAACGGGUGAGUAACACGUGAGUGAUCUGCCCCCAACUUGGGUAUAAGCCUGGGAAACUGGGUCUAAUUCCCGAUAGGACUGCAGGGUGGUGCCUGUGGUGGAAAACGAUUUUCUAGUGGUUGGGGAUGAGCUCGCGGCCUAUCAGCUUGUUGGUGGGGUAAUGGCCUACCAAGGCGGCGACGGGUAGCCGGCCUGAGAGGGUGGACGGCGACAUUGGGACUGAGAUACGGCCCAGACUCCUACGGGAGGCAGCAGUGGGGAAUAUUGCACAAUGGGCGGAAGCCUGAUGCAGCGACGCCGCGUGGGGGAUGACGGCCUUCGGGUUGUAAACUCCUUUCGACCGCGAGGAAGCCACCUGGUUGGAAGGGUGGUGACGGUAGUGGUAGAAGAAGCACCGGCUAACUACGUG
rnacentral:rRNA from 1 species